GAAAUGUGAUAAUUAAUGUGAAUUGCAGAAUUCAGUGAAUCAUCGAGUCUUUGAACGCACAUUGCGCCCCCUGGUAUUCCGGGGGGCAUUCCUGUCCGAGCGUCAUUGCUGCCCUCAAGCACGGCUUGUGUGUUGGGCUUCCGUCCCUGGCAACGGGGACGGGCCCAAAAGGCAGUGGCGGCACCAUGUCUGGUCCUCGAGCGUAUGGGGCUUUGUCACCCGCUCCCGUAGGUCCAGCUGGCAGCUAGCCUCGCAACCAAUCUUUUUAACCAGGUUGACCUCGGAUCAGGUAGGGAUACCCGCUGAACUUAAGC
rnacentral:misc_RNA from 1 species